GGAUCCAGACUUUGAUUAUGGCUCAGGAUGAACGCUAGCUACAGGCUUAACACAUGCAAGUCGAGGGGAAACGACAUCGAAAGCUUGCUUUUGAUGGGCGUCGACCGGCGCACGGGUGAGUAACGCGUAUCCAACCUGCCCACCACUUGGGGAUAACCUUGCGAAAGUAAGACUAAUACCCAAUGAUAUCUCUAGAAGACAUCUGAAAGGGAUUAAAGAUUUAUCGGUGAUGGAUGGGGAUGCGUCUGAUUAGCUUGUUGGCGGGGUAACGGCCCACCAAGGCGACGAUCAGUAGGGGUUCUGAGAGGAAGGUCCCCCACAUUGGAACUGAGACACGGUCCAAACUCCUACGGGAGGCAGCAGUGAGGAAUAUUGGUCAAUGGACGAGAGUCUGAACCAGCCAAGUAGCGUGCAGGAAGACGGCCCUAUGGGUUGUAAACUGCUUUUAUAAGGGAAUAAAGUGAGUCUCGUGAGACUUUUUGCAUGUACCUUAUGAAUAAGGACCGGCUAAUUCCGUGCCAGCAGCCGCGGUAAUACGGAAGGUCCGGGCGUUAUCCGGAUUUAUUGGGUUUAAAGGGAGCGUAGGCCGGAGAUUAAGCGUGUUGUGAAAUGUAGACGCUCAACGUCUGCACUGCAGCGCGAACUGGUUUCCUUGAGUACGCACAAAGUGGGCGGAAUUCGUGGUGUAGCGGUGAAAUGCUUAGAUAUCACGAAGAACUCCGAUUGCGAAGGCAGCUCACUGGAGCGCAACUGACGCUGAAGCUCGAAAGUGCGGGUAUCGAACAGGAUUAGAUACCCUGGUAGUCCGCACGGUAAACGAUGGAUGCCCGCUGUUGGUCUGUAUAGGUCAGCGGCCAAGCGAAAGCAUUAAGCAUCCCACCUGGGGAGUACGCCGGCAACGGUGCAACUCAAAU
rnacentral:rRNA from 1 species